rnacentral:rRNA from 1 species
CGUGGGGGAUAACUACUCGAAAGAGUAGCUAAUACCGCAUACGAUCUGAGGAUGAAAGCGGGGGACCUUCGGGCCUCGCGCGAUUGGAGCGGCCGAUGGCAGAUUAGGUACUUGGUCGGAUACAAGCUUACCAAGCCGACGAUCUGUAGCUGGUCUGAGAGGACGACCAGCCACACUGGGACUGAGACACGGCCCAGACUCCUACGGGAGGCAGCAGUGGGGAAUUUUGGACAAUGGGCGAAAGCCUGAUCCAGCAAUGCCGCGUGCAGGAUGAAGGCCUUCGGGUUGUAAACUGCUUUUGUACGGAACGAAAAAGCUCCUUCUAAUACAGGGGGCCCAUGACGGUACCGUAAGAAUAAGCACCGGCUAACUACGUGCCAGCAGCCGCGGUAAUACGUAGGGUGCGAGCGUUAAUCGGAAUUACUGGGCGUAAAGCGUGCGCAGGCGGUUAUGUAAGACAGAUGUGAAAUCCCCGGGCUCAACCUGGGAACUGCAUUUGUGACUGCAUGGCUAGAGUACGGUAGAGGGGGAUGGAAUUCCGCGUGUAGCAGUGAAAUGCGUAGAUAUGCGGAGGAACA